rnacentral:rRNA from 1 species
ACGAACGCUGGCGGCGUGCUUAACACAUGCAAGUCGCACGGAAAGGCCCUGCUUUUGUGGGGUGCUCGCGUGGCGAACGGGUGAGUAACACGUGAGUAACCUGCCCUUGACUUUGGGAUAACUUCAGGAAACUGGGGCUAAUACCUGAUAGGAGCUCCUGCUGCAUGGUGGGGGUUGGAAAGUUUCGGCGGUUGGGGAUGGACUCGCGGCUUAUCAGCUUGUUGGUGGGGUAGUGGCUUACCAAGGCUUUGACGGGUAGCCGGCCUGAGAGGGUGACCGGCCAAAUUGGGACUGAGAUACGGCCCAGACUCCUACGGGAGGAAGCAGUGGGGAAUAUUGCACAAUGGGCGGAAGCCUGAUGCAGCAACGCCGCGUGCGGGAUGACGGCCUUCGGGUUGAAAACCGCUUUCGCCUGUGACGAAGCGUGAGUGACGGUAAUGGGUAAAGAAGCACCGGCUAACUACGUG